UCCAGACUCCUACGGGAGGCAGCAGUGGGGAAUAUUGCACAAUGGGGGGAACCCUGAUGCAGCGACGCCGCGUGAGUGAAGAAGUAUUUCGGUAUGUAAAGCUCUGUCAGCAGGGAAGAAGAAAGACGGUACCUGGCCAAGAAGCCCCGGCUAACUACGUGCCAGCAGCCGCGGUAAUACGUAGGGGGCAAGCGUUAUCCGGAUUUACUGGGUGUAAAGGGAGCGUAGACGGCAGGGCAAGUCUGGAGUGAAAGGCGGGGGCCCAACCCCUGGACUGCUCUGGAAACUGUCCGGCUGGAGUGCAGGAGAGGUAAGUGGAAUUCCUAGUGUAGCGGUGAAAUGCGUAGAUAUUAGGAGGAACACCAGUGGCGAAGGCGGCUUACUGGACUGUAACUGACGUUGAGGCUCGAAAGCGUGGGGAGCAAACAGGAUUAGAUACCCCGGUAAC
rnacentral:rRNA from 1 species